CCACAAGUCAGGACAUGGACCUUGUACUUUAACAGGAGAAUCUGUGUACACUAUUAUCAUGACAUUCAAAUCUGAUGUUGCUGUUUCUUUUAUUUUAGGAGUCAACAGUUGCAUCUUGGUAUGAGCAGGGCAUCAUAGACCAGAUACAGAAACACAAACUGUUGUUCAUAGAGACACAGGACGCUGCAGAAACCACCCUGGAUCUCCGUAACUACCAAAAGGCAUGUGAGAAUGGGCGAGGAGCUGUGCUACUGUCUGUUGAAAGGGGGAAGAUAUCUGAG